UCGUCAGUUCGUGUCGUGAGAUGUUGGGUUUAAGUCCAUGCAACGAGCGCAACCCUUGUUAUUAGUUGCCAGCAUUAAUUUGGGCACUCUAAUGAGACUGCCGGUGACUAACCGGAGGAAGGUGGGGAUGACGUCUAGUCAUCAUGCCCCUUAUGACCUGGGCUACACACGUGCUACAAUGGGCAGUACAACGAGAAGCAAGCCUGCGAAGGCAAGCGAAUCUCUGAAAGCUGUUCUCAGUUCGGACUGCAGUCUGCAACUCGACUGCACGAAGCUGGAAUCGCUAGUAAUCGCGGAUCAGCACGCCGCGGUGAAUACGUUCCCGGGCCUUGUACACACCGCCCGUCACACCAUGGGAGUCUGCAAUGCCCAAAGCCGGUGGCCUAACCUUCGGGAAGGAGCCGUCUAAGGCAGGGCAGAUGACUGGGGUGAAGUCGUAACAAGGUAACCGUA
rnacentral:rRNA from 1 species